rnacentral:rRNA from 1 species
AUUGAACGCUGGCGGCAGGCCUAACACAUGCAAGUCGAGCGGAUGAAGGGAGCUUGCUCCUGGAUUCAGCGGCGGACGGGUGAGUAAUGCCUAGGAAUCUGCCUGGUAGUGGGGGAUAACGUCCGGAAACGGGCGCUAAUACCGCAUACGUCCUGAGGGAGAAAGUGGGGGAUCUUCGGACCUCACGCUAUCAGAUGAGCCUAGGUCGGAUUAGCUAGUUGGUGGGGUAAAGGCCUACCAAGGUGACGAUCCGUAACUGGUCUGAGGGGAUGAUCAGUCACACUGGAACUGAGACACGGUCCAGACUCCUACGGGAGGCAGCAGUGGGGAAUAUUGGACAAUGGGCGAAAGCCUGAUCCAGCCAUGCCGCGUGUGUGAAGAAGGUCUUCGGAUUGUAAAGCACUUUAAGUUGGGAGGAAGGGCAGUAAGUUAAUACCUUGCUGUUUUGACGUUACCAACAGAAUAAGCACCGGCUAACUUCGUG